rnacentral:rRNA from 1 species
AUUGAACGCUGGCGGCAGGCUUAACACAUGCAAGUCGAGCGGUAACAGAGAGAAGCUUGCUUCUCUGCUGACGAGCGGCGGACGGGUGAGUCAUGCCUAGGAAUCUGCCUAGUAGUGGGGGAUAACUUGCCGAAAGGUAAGCUAAUACCGCAUACGUCCUACUGGAGAAAGGAGGGGACCUUCGGGCCUUUCGCUAUUAGAUGAGCCUAGGUCGGAUUAGUUAGUUGGUGAGGUAAUGGCUCACCAAGACCGCGAUCCGUAACUGGUCUGAGAGGAUGAUCAGUCACACUGGAACUGAGACACGGUCCAGACUACUACGGGAGGCAGCAGUGGGGAAUAUUGGACAAUGGGGGGGAACCCUGAUCCAGCCAUGCCGCGUGUGUGAAGAAGGUCUUAGGAUUGUAAAGCACUUUAAGUGGGGAGGAAGAGCAGUUAACUAAUAUUUGACGGUUGUGACGUUACCGACAGAAUAAGCACCGGCUAACUUCGUG